rnacentral:misc_RNA from 1 species
CAUUCUCAAAACCUUCUCGGUUUCUCGACCGGGAAGGCUUUGGACUUUGGAGGCUUUUGCUGACCUUCCUUUGUUGGAGCCAGCUCCUCUGAAAUGAAUUAGUAGGGUCUACUUUGCCGAUCCUUGACGUGAUAAGAUGUUUUUCUACGUCUCGGGUUUCGCACCGUUUCCUGCUUCUAACUGUCUUCACGGAAGACAAACGGUCGAGUGAUCGCCACUCGACCCACGAA